AAGGUGACACAUUUAGGAAGAGGUGGACCUGAAGUCUAAGGGCUGUGACUGAAGAUUUAAAGAAUAGGAAUGGGCUUCUACUUAUGAAAGAGCAUGGAAAUUCUCCCACUGUGAAAACCCCUGCAUGGGCUGCAAACCCAGGAAAAUUUGAGGCUUGAUUCCUGAAUGUAACCAAAUUGGACGUUGGUGAGACCUUGAAGAAGAGAGGCUAAGUUGGGACAAUCUGGCCGUGACUGCUCUCGUGGAGGGAUUCCUGUGGAUCCUGCAGUACAUCUGUCCUGUGGGCUG
rnacentral:lncRNA from 1 species